CGCAAGCCUGACGGAGCAAGACCGCGUGGGGGAGGAAUGCCUUAGGGUUGUAAACCCCUUUUAUCUGGGAAGAACAAAAUGACGGUACCAGAUGAAUAAGCCUCGGCUAACUCCGUGCCAGCAGCCGCGGUAAUACGGAGGAGGCAAGCGUUAUCCGGAUUUAUUGGGCGUAAAGCGUCCGCAGGUGGCGAUUCAAGUCUGCUGUCAAAGCACGGGGCUUAACUCCGUAAAGGCAGUGGAAACUGAAUAGCUAGAGUGCCGUAGGGGUAGAGGGAAUUCCCGGUGUAGCGGUGAAAUGCGUAGAGAUCGGGAAGAACAUCGGUGGCGAAAGCGCUCUACUGGACCAAAACUGACGCUGAUGGACGAAAGCUAGGGGAGCG
rnacentral:rRNA from 1 species